rnacentral:rRNA from 1 species
CCAUCUGGAAGAAUACUGGAGACAGGUGCUGCAUGGCUGUCGUCAGCUCGUGUCGUGAGAUGUUGGGUUAAGUCCCGCAACGAGCGCAACCCUUGCCUUUAGUUGCCAGCAGUUCGGCUGGGCACUCUAAAGGGACUGCCGGUGUUAAACCGGAGGAAGUGGGGAUGACGUCAAGUCCUCAUGGCCUUUAUGACCAGGGCUACACACGUACUACAAUGGCCGAUACAAAGGGCAGCGACACUGCGAGGUGAAGCCAAUCCCGUAAAAUCGGUCUCAGUCCGGAUUGGAGUCUGCAACUCGACUCCAUGAAGUUGGAAUCGCUAGCAAUCGUGGAUCAGCAUGCCACGGUGAAUACGUUCCCGGGCCUU